UAGGUUAACGAGGCGAACCGGGGGAACUGAAACAUCUAAGUACCCCGAGGAAAAGAAAUCAACCGAGAUUCCCCCAGUAGCGGCGAGCGAACGGGGAGCAGCCCGGAGUCUGAAUCAGCUUGUGUGUUAGUGGAACGGUCUGGAAAGUCCGACGGUACAGGGUGAUAGUCCCGUACACGAAAGCACACUUGCUGUGAACUCGAAGAGUAGGGCGGGACACGUGGUAUCCUGUCUGAAUAUGGGGGGACCAUCCUCCAAGGCUAAAUACUCCUGACUGACCGAUAGUGAACCAGUACCGUGAGGGAAAGGCGAAAAGAACCCCGGCGAGGGGAGUGAAAAAGAACCUGAAACCGUGUACGUACAAGCAGUGGGAGCACCUUCGUGGUGUGACUGCGUACCUUUUGUAUAAUGGGUCAGCGACUUAUAUUCUGUAGCAAGGUUAACCGUAUAGGGGAGCCGAAGGGAAACCGAGUCUUAACUGGGCGUUAAGUUGCAGGGUAUAGACCCGAAACCCGGUGAUCUAGCCAUGGGCAGGUUGAAGGUUGGGUAACACUAACUGGAGGACCGAACCGACUAAUGUUGAAAAAUUAGCGGAUGACCUGUGGCUGGGGGUGAAAGGCCAAUCAAACCGGGAGAUAGCUGGUUCUCCCCGAAAGCUAUUUAGGUAGCGCCUCGUGAACUCAUCUUCGGGGGUAGAGCACUGUUUCGGCUAGGGGGCCAUCCCGGCUUACCAACCCGAUGCAAACUACGAAUACCGAAGAAUGUUAUCACGGGAGACACACGGCGGGUGCUAACGUCCGUCGUGAAGAGGGAAACAACCCAGACCGCCAGCUAAGGUCCCAAAGUCAUGGUUAAGUGGGAAACGAUGUGGGAAGGCACAGACAGCCAGGAUGUUGGCUUAGAAGCAGCCAUCAUUUAAAGAAAGCGUAAUAGCUCACUGGUCGAGUCGGCCUGCGCGGAAGAUGUAACGGGGCUAAACCAUGCAC
rnacentral:rRNA from 1 species